rnacentral:rRNA from 1 species
UACGGAGGAUCCAAGCGUUGUUCGGAUUCAUUGGGCGUAAAGGGUGUGUAGGUGGCGCCGUAAGUCGGGUGUGAAAUUUCGGAGCUUAACUCCGAAACUGCAUUCGAUACUGCGGUGCUUGAGGACUGGAGAGGAGACUGGAAUUUACGGUGUAGCAGUGAAAUGCGUAGAUAUCGUAAGGAAGACCAGUGGCGAAGGCGGGUCUCUGGACAGUUCCUGACACUGAGACACGAAGGCCAGGGGAGCAAACGGG